CUGUUUAAAUCAAUAAUCCAUGUCUGAUCCCUACACCGCCUCAGGAGCCUGGGAGGAUAGCACGUCUUCCAUCUGCAAUAAACCUGGUAAAUCUUCCGCUGUGAAUUACUAAAGACCCAGAUACUUUUCCUGCUGCAGCUACAAUGAGUUCCUUUCUACUUGAGCUGUGCAGCUUCACAGCUGCAAUGAAAGCAACAAAAUCCACUUUCUUUACAUACAGCAAGUCUGGUUCUCUUGGUUGACAAAUAGACCUAUUGACUAUGAGCAUUGAUGCAUCAACUACAGUACCAUUUCUUCAACUUCACUUGCUCACUCAAUUAUUUUGAUUGCCUCCGCAUAGGAGCUCAGAUGUACCGCCCUAACUUUUGCCACCUCAACCUCCUUCACCCUUACAGGGCACUCCACGAACUCUGGGCCAUGAUCCCAACCACAAUUGCAACAAGGCCAUUCUUCACUCCGAUCUGUAUACUCCACCCGUCUGCACACACUUGAAACAUGGCCAUAUCCUAUACAAUUUUUACACUGUUUUGGUGAUAAAAGCGCUUGCUGCUUAACUCAUAUACCUCAGCUUCACAUGCGUAGGGAGGUGCUCAUCAUCAACAAACAAUAGAACCGACUAACUUUCUUCCAUUGUUCCUUCCGCCAUGCAGGUCAAGCGACGGGCACCACACCUGGGAUUCCUGUCACAAGGUUUUCCUCCCUAACUUCCAUCGACACCCUGGAGAGACCUACUCCGGAGUUCAAAGCACGAUACUUCGGGUGACUCGAUUCUUGUUAGAUCAACAACAGGAUCUUGGAGUAACCACUGAGGAACAUCCCCCUAUCACCACAGAAGGGCCAACCUCCAAUUCCCUCAGACCACUCAUCAGCAAGCUUUCCAACUGUCCAACCAAAACCACUGCCUUGUCUACUAAUAUAUUCCCAACAGUCAUCUAGAACAGUAGCAGUGGGAUGGUCAACCUCACAGCCUUUCAGCCUAACCCAAUAAGCUAAUUACCAUUUUUUUACACUGAAUAUCCAAAAGCAUCUCACCUACCUCCACUAGUAAGGCACAUGCAGAUGUUGAUUUAAAUGCACCAAUACAUAUCCUUAAAGCUGUAUACUGGAUUCUGUCCAGCCUCUGAAGCCAAGUCUUCGCCGCUGUUCCAUAAACUAUACACCCGUAAUCAAUUGUCGUUCUGAUCAGAGCUCUAUAAAUAUCCAUCAACGAUUGUCUAUCAGCACCACAUUCAUAACCAAUGACCAAGCGCAUAAGAUUCACCACCUUCUUACACUUUUUUUCAACAUUUGACAUGGUAUUUCCAUGUAUAUCGCUCAUUGAACCAUAGACCCAAAUAUUUGUACUUAGAAACCCUCCCCAUAGGCUGACCUUACAGAAACAACUGUAUAUUCUCAGCAACUUUCUUCUUAGAGAAGAACAUACAGCAAGACUUUCGCCACUGACAAUUUAAAACCCCAGUCAAUUGACCAUUUUUCAAAAUCCACUAUAGCUUGUUGAAUAGAUUGUCACAUGAGAGAUAUUCCUUGUCCCCUUUCAAAUAGCUCUAUCAUCAGCAUAUAGGUAAGCCCCAAUAGCCCAACCUACAUUCAAAAACACAUUGUUAAUCAUAAUAUUAAUAUUGAACAAAAUAGGACAGAUCGCACUGCCUUGAGGAAUACCAUUGUCAACUCCACAGGCAUCAGAUAAAAUUGAUCCUAUUUUAACUAAAAAAGAGCGAUUAAAUAAGAACACCAAAACUCAGUUGUAUAUUCUCCCACCAAUACCAAGUCUAUCCAUCUUAAUCACAUUGUAUUGUAUGCCUUUUCAAUGUCAAAAAAGACAGUAGCCAUUACUUCAUGACCAGAGUUUUUUUCAACUUCAUUGUUCACCUUUACUAAUGCAUCCAAAGUAGAUCUACCUUUAUGGAAUCCACUUUGCCAUUGACUCAAUAAAAAUCUAUGUUCCAGGAAA